rnacentral:rRNA from 1 species
CCAUUCUUUAAAGAAAGCGUAACAGCUCACUGGCCUAAACAUAAGGCGCCAUAGAUUUUGAGGGCUCAAACUUUUUACCGAAAUCGUAAUUUUUGCAGACAAAAAGGUAGCAGAAUAUUCUGUAGAUCGUCGAGCUAAAAGAUAACUUUUAGUGAGGAUAUCAGAAAAAAUAAUGCUGACAUGAGUAAGAAUUAACAAGGAUUGAAACCUUGUGGCCGAAAUUCUAAGGUUUUCGAAGGAAGGUUUAACUACUU